UUUAAAGUCCACUCAUGCGAUAGCCAAACUAUUUUCUCUCAACUCACGCACUUUCUCUUUUCCGUUCCAACGCUCGGACAGAACUUCAAGAGCGAGCAGUCCGACAGAUUCACGCAGCCAACCAUUCCAGAUUUCAUACGAAAUUCCUAAAGGUGCCAUUCUUUUAAAGCUCCCUACUUACCUCAUUUUACACUACGUCUAAGAAACCCAGAUCAUGUCAUAAGAAUUUCAACUGCCUAACAAGGAAAACACCCAUACAUACAUUACAUUUGCACUCUGUUUAUAUACGUGUAUAUAUUUACAUUCAAGCAUGUCUGUAAAAAGAAAAGAAAGUCAAAGAUAGAAAUGGAAGUUCUGAUUUUGUUUCCCUGCCUUCGAUCUUGCUGUAUUGAGUCGAGUCAGGGGGGGGGAUAAGGGAUGACGGCGGUGCGACUGUUGUUACCAUCGGCGGCGACCCCGUCGUCUGUCACCGGAAGUUUUAGAGAGAGAAUGGGGUGCUGACGGUGGUGGCGUGGAGCCACUGACCGCGCCCGCCGGAUCUGUUAAUGGGGGCGGUGGUUGAGCUUUCGGAGGGAGGCAGGGCACGACGGCGGUGCCGCUGCUGCCCGGCCACGGCUGGAGAAAGAGAGGAGAGAUAGAGGGCGGCAAUGGUAGUGGCAGAAAGCUGCUGCCGUCGGCCAAGGUUGAUCAAGGGAGGCUAGGGCACGGUGGCGGCGAGGAGUCGUCAUCGUCGCCUGAAAUUGGAGAGAGGGGGCGCGGCGGCAGUGGCCUCUCGCUGCUGACUCACCGGAGUUCCAGAGAGGAGGCGGCGGCGCGAUUUGGUGAGGAAGAGGGAGAUGGUGAUGUCUGUCGCCGGAAACGGACCAAGAGAGGGAGAGGCCAAGGGAGGCGGCGGCGUUCCGUCGUCGCCAAGGAGGAGCCGCGGCGGCGGAAAUUCGAGGGAGCAGAGAGAGAGGCGGAUUUGGCAUGAAGAGAGAUAAGAGUGAGAUAUGUGAUUGUGUGUGUGUGUGCGGCUGAGGAGGGGGAGAAAAGGGGGGAAGUGUUGGGUUGGGUUUGGAAGUUGGGCUUGAGCCUUGGGCCGACUUUAGUUUUUUUCUGUUGGGCCGAUUUUUCUUUCAGUUGGGCCAGUGUUUAAUUAAAUGGUUGGGACUCAUUUUAUUUAAACUUGGGCUGCCAUUUUUUUAUUUUUGGGCUGCGAAUUUUAAAACAAAAACAUGGGCUUCCAUUUAAUUGUUAGACUUCUUUAAUUGAUUUAUCAAUUUAAUUCUUUAAUUUGGGUUUAAAUUAAUUAUUUUUGAAAAAGUUUGCAUAAUAGUAUUUUCUUAUUAUGUGCAUAUGUUAAAUAUAUUUAUUUAAUUAUGUGAGUUAAAGCAUGAAUUAAUUUUUGCAUCAAACAUUUUACAUAGAAUCAUUUAUGAUUAAAUUGGUUUUAUUAUAAAAAUCGUAAAUAGAUAGGAUAUUGUUGGUGUCCUUGACUCAAGAAUUUAUUUCCUAAAUAUUUAAUCAUUAAAUAUAGAAACCGCUAAGUGAAUCAUAGGAUGAUAAGCACUACACUAUGACUUAAGAUUAGAUUCAGGAGACCUAUUAAGAUUAUAGAUUUCUUGUAGGCUUUGUGGAUCGUGAGGACUAGCACUGCUAUUCCGAUUCAGAGUUAAGAUUAAACGACAGGCUUUGCCUAUUCAGGUGGGCUUAUUUUCCAAAUGUAUGAUUUAGCUAUUGAGCUUAAAUGUUUCAAUGAAAUAUAAACUGUUUAUCCGAUAAAAUAUUUUUGUGCACUCUGCUCUGUUUAAGGCUCGCAACAAUGAAUCGAUCGAGGUUCUCUCUUGACCUAACACGUUAUUUGAGAAUUGUGUACACCUAUUAGCUGACUCGGUGGGUUGAUCUCCAUCGGGCACUAAUCAUGUAUGAGGCGUUAUAAGGGUGCUCGACGGGAUGUGUUCCGGAGCAUUGGGUCCCAAAUGGGAACUUGACUGGGUUACGCCCUCAGUUCAAGUAAGCAGGAGUAAUGGAUCCGUCGGUGGCUAAAAGGUCCGGGAUCACAGCGAGUAACGGAAAGGGAGUGUGACAAUUGCGCGCAAUAUAAUAAAAUGUUUUAACAUGCUUAGAAGUUAUUUCAAUUUAAAACCUUCUAAGUCAUGUCAGUAUAAUUGGAUAAACUGCUCUUAUGAUUAUGAAAUGUUUAUAAAAGUGCUAGCCCACUAAGUACAUUAGUACUUAGCCCAAAAUUACUUUCAAAUGUUUUCAGGUUGAUUGGUCGGUGCUGACGGGGCAGAGCUGAGGCUAGAGUUCAACUCCGUAUUUUGUCUUCCGCUGUUGCACUAGCUCUUAUUUGUCUUUUGUUUCUCCAAC
rnacentral:lncRNA from 1 species